rnacentral:lncRNA from 1 species
GGACGUGGAGGUACUGCUGGUAACAAGUUCCGGAUGUCACUGGGUCUACCAGUGGCAGCCACUGUGAACUGUGCUGAUAACACUGGAGCCAAGAACCUGUACAUCAUUUCGGUGAAGGGAAUCAAAGGGCGCCUUAACAGGCUUCCCUCUGCCUGUGUUGGUGACAUGGUUAUGGCAACUGUGAAGAAGGGAAAGCCUGACCUCAGGAAGAAGGUGAUGCCAGCUGUCAUUGUGAGGCAGCGCAAGCCAUGGCGCCGAAAGGAUGGUGUCUACAUGUACUUUGAAGGUACAUCUCUUAUCAUGUCAGGGUAGAUUGACUUUGCAAUGAUUUAAUCGUUUGAGCUAUUGCAUGCUUGUAAAAUUUGUGACUUCUUUUCAUUUGAUUUUGGUUCUUUAGAAUGUGCUGUCUUGUAUACUGAGCUAGUGUUCUACUUUGCAAUCAUUUCAUAUUGAUCAACACACUAUAUUUGUUGUCUGCAAUACAUAAUUCUG